AACUCUUUUCUACUUCUGAGCAUUGUGUGAAGCUCUGCAAAAACCAAAUGAAUUUUUUCAAGGAGAUCGAAGAAGGGAGCAAAAUCAAAGCAAUAAUGCAUUUCAAUGUUUUUCUUCUUCUUCUUCUUCCUCUGGAGAUUCCUCGCGGUGUUCUUCUCUCUGCACUCUAGUUUCAGAAGCAGUUUCCGGUUUCCGAUAUGGUCAAGUGUGAAAGAAACAAUGUCGGAUCUGUAGUUUUUGACCGAGUUUCCACUUCCACUGCCUCUUGCGGAAAUUUUCGCCUUCGUACGUCAUUCUCCGCUGCUUCAUUCCGUAAGAAGAUUUUUGACGCUGUAAGUUGUAGCGGAAGUUUUCACUAUUGUUAUCACCACGACGGCGAUGGUACUGUUGCCUCGGAAAUUAAACCGGCGUCCGAGAUUGUGAAUGAACGGCAGUCGGUGAGGCCAAAGCGGUCCAAUGCGAAGUCGCAGAAGCUGUUGGAUCUUCUGAGGUUGGAGUCAUCGCAGGAAUCGAGGCAGGAGACGGAGGAGGAGGAGGAUCUGGAGGAGUUCAUAUGCGUGGUGAAGAAACUGCAGGAUGAUGUUUUGGUGAAGAGGAGAGCUGCUGCCAGUCGAGUUAGGUUGCUUGCAAAAGAAGAUGCUGAAGCGAGAGAGACGUUCGCAGUACUCGGAGCCAUUCCGCCGCUGGUUGGAAUGCUUGAUUUGGAAGACGAUGAAUCUAAGAUCGCCUCGCUUUAUGCAUUGCUCAAUCUUGGAAUUGGAAACGAUAUGAACAAGGCGGACAUUGUCAAAGCAGGUACUGUUCACAAAAUGCUUAAGCUGAUCGAAUCUGAUAAUUCCAUAAAUCCAUGUGUCUCCGAAGCCAUAGUUGCAAAUUUCCUCGGUUUGAGCGCAUUAGAUACCAACAAACUGGUAAUUGGGUCAUCAGGUGCAAUUCCUUUCCUGGUGAAGAACUUAUACGACCCAGACAAAAAAGGUAGUUCACAAGUCAAACAAGAUGCUCUACGUGCGCUUUAUAACCUCUCUAUUUUCCCAUCCAACGUUCCAUUUAUCUUAGAAACCAAGUUGAUCCCAUUUCUUCUAAACUCGAUGGGAGACAUGGAAGUCAGUGAAAGAGCUCUCUCUAUUUUAAGCAAUGUGGUAUCAAUCCCAGAAGGCCGAGAAGCCAUAAGCACUUUUCCAGAUUCAUUUGCAAUAGUAAUUGAUGUAUUGAAUUGGGGUGAUUCGCCAGGGUGCCAAGAGAAGGCCUCGUAUAUUUUAAUGGCAAUGGCGCACAAAUCUUAUCGUGAUAGACAGGCAAUGAUUGAAGCUGGGAUUUCAUCCGCUUUGUUGGAACUAACUCUUUUGGGCAGUACGUUAACUCAAAAGAGGGCCUCGAGGAUAUUGCAGAUUUUGAGGGUCGAUAAAGAAAAAGAGAUAUCGGAGGAUUAUAGUUGGAAUUCUUCUGCUCCAAUUUGUGGUGGUUCAUCUUCUUUUACAAACCCAAUUCUUGGUUCUGCAGAAGUGGAAGGAUUGGAUGAUUUGGUGAGUGAAGAGAAGAAUGCUGUGAAGCAAUUGGUGCUGCAGAGCUUGCAAAACAACAUGAGGAGAAUCGUUAGGAGAGCGAACUUGCCUCAAGAUCUUGUGCCUUCUGAUCAUUUCAAGUCCCUCACAUCAAGCUCCACUUCAAGAAGCUUGCCGUUUUGAGUGCCUAACUGCCAGGAAUUUUGGUAUCCUCGAUAAUUCUGAAGAUUGAUGCAGUUUUCCUUGUAAAAGAUGAUGUGAGCUGUAGAGGUAACAUCUCUACUGCAAAUGUAGCAUUAUGCUACAGUGCUUUUAAUUCAAUAUAGAUUUUGAAAGUUGAUCUCUGCAACUUCUUUAUUUUCAUUUUGAACUUUUGGGUCUCUUUAACUUUGGACUAGCUAGCUAUUCUAUAGGUCUUCUGCACAAAAUCAAGUACUAACUGGUGCUGCAAUUGCUUUGUUGUUAAACCAAAAGUAGCUGGGACUUGCAAUAAACAAGGGGAAGGAAGUGGAAGGUGUAGGCAGUUAAUGUGUCUGAGAAUUAUUUGAAAAUGACACCCUCUACCAGUGCCUCUAGUGAUCUAGCAACAAUAAUUAGAAUUAUUUGGAAAUGUACUGUUGACACAAUAAUUGAGAAAAAAUUAGUAUUAUUAAGUAAGUUCAUACUAUCAUUUAUUGUCUAUCACGUUAACGGGAGUAUGAUACUUUCAUUUAUUGUCUAUCACAUUAACGGGAGUAUGAUACUUUCAUUUAUUGUCUAUCACAUUAUGGGGGUAUGAUAUGUUGAUAGGUUGAGAAUAACUUAUUUGUCUCUUUCCAUUCUUUUUUUAAUAUUUAGUGGGGAUUUGAUGUGUGAAGUAAUGAGAAUUAUGAUCGGUAGUUGAGUUAUUUAUGAAGGUCUUAUCUCGAGCAAUGAAGACAGAAUGAGAAUCCUCCUGAAUAUCAACUGCUGCUGCAGCAUUUGAAACUUUAAAGCUCCGGGUGCUUAUUUGCUUAUACUUAAUAAAUGGUUUCUUGUAGAUUUGUGUUGUGUUGUGUUGUGCUGUGCUGUCCGACAGCGAUUGUGUGGGGCUGUACAAUUUGUGAAAUCUCAAGGAUGUUUCUUUGGA